AGGCGCUUGCGGUUGCAUUCGGACAGGUUGUGAUGAAACCAGGCUCCCGGGAGGCUGCUGCCACAGCGGAUCCCUGGGCUGCAAGCAGCGCUUCUCCGACUGCCGCUAAUGGGCUGAUUUCAAAGUGUCAAGAGCAGGAGUUUCACAGUGAUUGUUAUUACUGAUGCUGUACAGCAGCCAGCAGGUCUCCAAGGCUUGCGCGUGGAUGAAAGGGAUGGUGACACAGGGCAAAAAGGCAAGGAAAGCAGCAACAGCAGUGACGGGAUGUAAAUAAUUCAUCCAGGCUGAAAAAUAUCACGGCCCAGUCCUGCAGUGGGAUUCCAAUGCAUCUGUGGUUCUGUGGAGAUCCCGACGAGCAAAUUAACAGCAGAAUGGAUACAGGCUCUGAGCUGUGUGCCUUUUCCUGUGCCUAUUGCUCCUGCCAGUACUGCUGGUUAAAUAAGGUGUGAUCCCUGCCUCUCCUCUCCAGCCUGGUGCUAUGGCCUACACGAUAUUUGGCAGCGGGAUGGGCCAGUGGGUGUGCCCCAACGACCGGCAGCUGGCACUGCGUGCCAAGCUCCAGACGGGCUGGUCGGUGCACACGUUCCAGACUGAGAAGCAGAGGAAGAUGCAGGCUUUGAGCCCACAGGAGCUUGAGGUCAUUCUAGAAGUCAUCCGCAAGGCAGAGAAAUUGGACAUCAUCGAGCAGCAGCGCAUUGGGCGCCUGGUGGAGCGGUUGGAGAACAUGAGAAAGAACGCGAUGGGCAAUGGCCUCUCCCAGUGUCUGCUCUGCGGUGAACUGCUCGGGCUGCUGGGAAGCACAUCUGUCUUCUGUCAGGAUUGCAAAAAGAAAGUUUGCACCAAGUGUGGAAUAGAAACCUUUGGAGCUCAGAAACGUCCUCUUUGGUUGUGCAAGAUCUGCAGCGAGCAGAGAGAGGUUUGGAAGAGAUCUGGUGCAUGGUUCUACAAAGGGCUGCCCAAGUACAUCACACCGUUGAAGAGCAGCAGCAAAUCCAGUGAGCUGCCCUCACCACCUUGGCAAAGCGAACCAGCCAUGCCAGAGGCAGAGAGCAUCGGCGCCAGCCGAUCCUUCACCUGGGCCAGAGAAAAAGUGGAUUCUAGCGACAGUGAGAGUGACUCUGAGUUCAGUUCCUCCAGCCUGGAUGACAAGCCUGUACCUGCAGGGUCAAAGGGCUCACAAGGCAGAAAGCAUGGAGCAGGACUGGGUGAGGAGUUGCUGUUCCCUGUGGCUGGAGGCUGAGAAGUGUAAAGUGCUUGAAUGUUUGGCUUUUGGUGCUGUGGUCUUUGGCUUAGCCUCUUGCCUGCCGUUUGCAGUGCAGCCUGCUAGCUUUAGCUCUGCCAGCUGAGGAUCUUGUCCUUUCUCACUCAGCAGUAUCAAUGAGUCAAAUUGGUGGUGGGUCACUCCAUUGCCUGCAGCCUUUCAGGGUCUGCCCUUGCUAUUGGGAGCUGCUCUCGGCUGCCUGGCAGCAAAUUUCUGGCCGUCUCCUCACUCUUGACUUUAUACCACUGGAAUCACCUGUGCCGUUUUAGGAACGGAGCAUGGGACUUGGGAUUUGACCCUGCUCCUGAGAGUGUCUGACUUGGGACAGGGAGGCUGCUGCGCUCUUGGGUCCUGGCCCAACGUCUGCACCCACUUCUCACUUCUAUAGCAGCAUCUCUUUUGUGUCCCUGCAGCAUCUAUUGGGGAACCUGGCCAGGCCAUGGCCCGGGUGCUGAGGAGCAUCCACUCUCCUACCCUCUCGGGGAGCCACAGCAGCCUGGGCAGCGAACAGGGGGCUGCCCUCAGCGCCACAGAGAGCUCCCAGAGCGACCAGCCAGCAGACGGGCGCGACAGUGAUGUUGGCAGCAGAGUCCCAGGCAAACGGUGUGUCCACACCAGAAAAAGAUGCUGAUGAUGGUGAAGAUGGAACUGUUCUACCUGGAUCCAAUGUUCAACCCUCGCCCACUCCUGUAGACCUCACUCCAGACAAUAACUGCUGCUGAUGGUGACUUUAUGACGCUGGCUUUUGCCACAGGCACUGGCAACACAGUGGCAUCUGGGAAAGCGUUUGCCUGUCCUCCCUGCCUCACUGACCUGGCUUAUGGUUUGGUCUGGUUUCCCCUCCUGUUGACUGACACACACUUCGGGGUGCUGCUCAGAGCAGGGUGCUGUGCGGUGCUGCCGUGGGGUCCAGGCCUGUGUUUGAAAGGUGCACACAAAGUACUCACUGGAACUGCAGAAAUGUGUGCUACCUCUGCUGUUCCCGGCUUGCCAAGCCCGGCCCUGGGUUCAGCUCCUGACCUUGCAGCCCUGGCUUUGCAGUCUUCAGGAGAAAGGAGGGUUCAGUCCCUGAAAUGGGGUGUGAGAAGACUGCGGCCCUUCUACUGCUUCUCAGCCCAGGGAUUUAUUUCCCUCUAUGAACCCCAAGGGUGAGAUCGGGGUUCUGAUUUGCAUUUGAUUCUCAUGGGCCCAGGAUGUCACCUCUGUAUUUUUUGUCAUCAUUGUUCUGGUUUGAGUUGGUGUGAGUUUGGUGGGGGUAUCGUGAAUCAACGGGGGAAAUUGUGCUCCCUUUCAUAUCCACUGCGGGCCUCUCUGUGUGUUGGUGCUUUCUGCUCAGGGAGAUGCUUCAGUUAGUAAAGAAACACUCGAGGAGGUUUGCUUGGAAUUUUUCAGUCCUGCUGGCUGUGCGCUGGCCUGUGUGUCCUGCGGUGAGGGGGAUGCUUUGGUGGUGGGGGCACGGGCAGUGAAUGUGUGCUGCAGCUCCUCAUGGGAGAACAUCCACUGCCCCGUGGCCCAGCUGGCUGCCAUUGCCUACCCAAAUCAGAUAAAAGCUUUCAAUACUUUAUCUUGUUAAGCUUUGCGGUUCUCCUCCUGCAUGCACACCUUGUCGGCUCUUGCAUGAGCUGGAGCCUUUGUUUUACCUUUUUCCUGCAAGCCUUGAGCAUCUGGCUGACUGUGAUGGUGUCAUCAUGAGUCAGGCUCCAGAAAGCUGCCUGCCCUGUUCCUGCUUAUUCUCUGGGAUGGACCAUUUUCCUCCAAGGCCUGAUGAGAAAAUCAAAUUACCUGACAUCUGUAGGGCAAUUAGAUCUUUGAAGGCCUGAACAAAACCCACACGAGUAGGAGUCUGUGGAUUUUUAUUAAAUGCUUUGGAUCUGACCUGUCUUCUGCCGAAGAAACAAAGUAUUCCAAAAAGUUCCCUCUGAAAUCAUAGAUUUAAAGGCAAUUUGUGCCUGUUAAUGUCAGCCUUUUCCCUUGGUUAUUACUCUUCUGUUCUCCUUUGCUGCGGGGCGCUUUGUGUGCAUGUAGUAUACGGUCUUACAAAUGGCUGCAGUAUGAAGAUAAAUGAGAUUGGGUGCUGGAACACUCUAACAGGAGAUCGGAAAUCAAUCUUUGACUUUCUUUUAAAUUAACAUGGUCCAACAGAGAACCAUUCCCCUACUGCUGUUCCAGUUAAUGCGCUAUGGCAAGUUGCUGGGAAAAUCCUUCCAGCUUUUCCUCCGUGACCUGUUUCUGCCCUUUGAAAAAUGAAAACAAAACCUUUGUAUGUUGUGGACUCUUUGAGAUGCUGUAAAGAGAAACCACUGAACGUGGGCUUCACACGUAGGUGUUGUAGAAAGCAAGGGGUGAGGUUGUUCUCCAUGGAACGAUGCUUUGUGUUUUCUAGACCUGGCCAUUGAGACUUGACCGGCUGCAUCUCUAAUCAACAUUACUAGCUGUUUCUGAAAAAGGAAAUCCAAAAGUCAGCUUUAGCUGAAAUGCCAGUAUGAUUUCAGAGCUGAAGUCAUGCUGUUCUUCUGAGAGCUGUAAGGUCUUCAAUUUCAGAUUGUUUUGCCACCAAAAAGUCCUGUCUUGCCUUGGAGCUUUUGACAGUCCUACUGAGGCUGUCUUGCUCGCGCUGUCAUUACCGCACUGCCUCAAACAGCCUGGCCUGCCAGCCUGAGUUAAUUCUAUUGAAGAAGGAAAAAAGGCAUUUAAAAAUUUACUCCGUUUUCUUUAAACCUGUUACUUUCUCAUCAAAAGCUCUGCACUGAGUUGGAAAGAGUUUUUAAAAUUGAGUAUGUAAUUUCUAACUUUUGCUGUGUUUCUCGUGUUUCAUUCCUGGGCAAACCAAGCAGGUCAGUCAUGUUUUCAUCCCCACCCUCUCUUCUCAGGGCCAUUUACCACUGUGGGUUACCGACUCUGCCCAGGAAUCCAACAGUCCUUCCUGGCUUGCUGUGCCACGUUGAGGCAUGAGUUUGAUUUUUAGCUGAGACUAGGUUUAUAAAACACUCACAAAGAAACAUUUGAGACUGCUUUUGUGCCAGUGAGGCAGGAAACCUUUUUUUUCUUACCUCUAUAUUUUACUUCCCUGGAGUAAUUCCACCUGAGUUUGAACCAGAACCAUUUGGUCUACUGUGGAAUGACUCCAGUUGGGUGGACAGAAGAAUGUAGCCUGGGAGAAUGUGAUCUCCCACAUAUGAAUGUGAUAGAGGAACAUCCAUAGCUCUGUGCACGUACUUUCUGUUAAAAGACCACUUUAUUCUCUGUUGUGUUUUGUAGCUUUAGUUGGAAUAUUAUCUGAAACCUGUACCAGUCAACUGCUAUUUUUGUUGGCUUAAGGGGGCAAGAAUGGCUCAGUGAAUAGUGCUCAGUCUGUUCUGGUCAUUUGUGUUUCUUUUAUUAUUUUGUUGUUCUUUUCUCCAUCCCUUACAACUUUUAUGUAGUGUUUUACUACUCGAAACAAUAAAGCUUUGGCUCAGUAACAAAUGCUUGCCAUUCUUGAAACAG